ensembl:lncRNA
CGUAAUUAUCACACUUAAUUCCCAUUCACAUUCAGUGUUUUUCUGCUUACGUGUUGUUGCAGCCAAAAGAGUUUUCUUCCUGCCCCCUGAACUCAGAUGAAGCUGUCAAUGAAUGGCUGCACUUCUAUGAAAUGCAGGCUCCUUUGGUUUGUCUACCAGUUUUUGUUUCCAAAGACCCGGGACUUGAUUUGCGACUGGAGCACACCCAUUUCUUCAGUCAUCAUGGCGAAGGCGGACAUUACCACUGUGAUACCACCCCAGACACAGUGGAGUAUCUUGGCUACUUCUUACCUGCACAGCUCCUCUACCGCAUUGAUCGGCCCAAAGAGACCCAUGCAUUUGGGAGAGAUUAAAGCAGCUGAUGCUUGCUUAGAAAAUGGUUAGCUAAGGUUAAAUCCCUAACUCAGCAACUGAUACUAAUUAAAAAAUCCAGUAGAGAGCCAGAGGUUGCUUCCCUAGCAAGCCAAGGCCCUGGCUUAAUCCUCAGCAUGGAAGAAAAACACACAAUAAGAGUAAUUUCACUACAUAAACACUAGUUUUAUACUAUUUCAAAUGCAAGGAUACUUGAUACUCCUAUUAUUUAGCAUCUUCAUGUGAAGAAGAUUAUUAGUAACAAAGAUACCUAAUUGAGAUGCUCACUUUCCUAUAUGCUCACUUUAGUAAAUCAAUUUCAUAUCUUUAUAGCCUGGCAAAGUCUUCUCUUCAUACCUCAGAUAUAAGCAGAACAGGGACCUUCCAUUAUUCCUGCUAUCUAGGAAUAACUUACAUUUGUGUGACAUUAAAUUUUGCAAGUUCAUCUCAGAAGUGCUAAGGGAUUAUUACUGAGUAUUAGACACAAAAGUGUGGAAUCUUCGCACUGAGUUUUUAAAGCCCACAAAGAAAACCAGUGUACUCUGUUCUCAGCACUCGGCGGACAAGGUGGCUCUUUACUCUGGUGACAAUCUACACUCAGAAGUCUGCAGCCUGCCUUCCACAGAUGUUAGUAACAUUGAUUAGCCAGGCUCUUCUCAAAUUAGAUCUCCAUCCAACGGUUUGUACCUUAGUAACUGCAAGAUAAGAAGGGAAAGAGACAGCAACAAAGCACAACACUAACAUGAGCAUACUUUAGUAAGGCUGCUGUUGAACAUGGCCACUCUCCAUCACGAGAUAAAACUACACUCUUAGUGUGUGGUGUCUUGAAGACACACGUCUGUGCCCUUUUGUUGGCUAUUAGAAUAUUGAGACAAUGGACCCCAGGAAAUUGGAAUUCCCUCAGGAUUCUCAUGCCAGGAGAAUCCUGGUGCCAGCCAGAGGAGGGACUUGUCUCCUGGAAAGAGAUGUCACAUAGUUCUGCAGGACCAACAGGAGACUAGUCAGUCAGUGGGGGUGGGCAGGACCACAGCUUGACCUGCUGAGUUGGGCAUACAUCUUGCCUUCUAUUUAAACCUGAACCUCAUGCCAGGAUCCCAACAUAGAUUUUGCAGAAUAGUGGGGAAUCCAGAGACUUGUUUGUUCCUCUUCCCAAUGUGACUACAUUCAAGAAAUCUUUUUAUGCUUUUCAAAAAAUUACACUAUUACUGUGUGCUGAUGAUUACAAAACUUGCUGUUCUGUAAUAUAAAACCUGUGAUGAUCAUUAACCAGAAAUCAACCUUGCUAAUGACAGUAAGGUGUGGGUCUAGGAAAUCUUUAGAACCAAACCCUAAAUGUUUUCUGAUUCCUUACUUUGUAAUGAACAUGUCUUGUGAGUAUAAACAUGAUUUUUGAAACAAAACUGAAUAAAGUAAUAUUUAGUGUAUUGUUUCUCA